CGCGUGGGCAACCUGCCCUGUACCGGGGGACAACAGCCAGAAAUGGCUGCUAAUACCGCAUAAGCCUGCUGUGCCGCAUGGCACAGCAGGGAAAACCACGGUGGUACAGGAUGGGCCCGCGUCUGAUUAGUUAGUUGGCAGGGUAACGGCCUACCAAGACAACGAUCAGUAGCCGGCUUGAGAGAGUGGACGGCCACAUUGGGACUGAGACACGGCCCAGACUCCUGCGGGAGGCAGCAGUGGGGAAUAUUGCACAAUGGGGGGAACCCUGAUGCAGCAAUGCCGCGUGGGUGAAGAAGCACUCCGGUGCGUAAAGCCCUGUCAGCAGGGAAGAAAAUGACAGUACCUGGACAAGAAGCCCCGGCUAACUACGUGCCAGCAGCCGCGGUAAUACGUAGGGGGCAAGCGUUAUCCGGAUUUACUGGGUGUAAAGGGAGCGCAGGCGGCGUGGCAAGUCAGAUGUGAAAACCCGGGGCCCAACCCCGGGAGUGCAUUUGAAACUGCCAUGCUGGAGUGCCGGAGAGGUAAGCGGAAUUCCUAGUGUAGCGGUGAAAUGCGUAGAUAUUAGGAGGAACACCAGUGGCGGAGGCGGCUUACUGGACGGUAACUGACGCUGAGGCUCGAAAGCGUGGGGAGCAAACAGGAUU
rnacentral:rRNA from 1 species